GACGAACGCUGGCGGCGUGCUUAACACAUGCAAGUCGAACGAUGAUGCUCCAGCUUUGUUGGGGUGGAUUAGUGGCGAACGGGUGAGUAACACGUGAGUAACCUGCCCUCUUCUUUGGGAUAACGGUCGGAAACGGCUGCUAAUACAGGAUAUUCACUCAUUGGCGCAUGUUGGUGGGUGGAAAGGUUUUUUCUGGUGGGGGAUGGGCUCGCGGCCUAUCAGCUUGUUGGUGGGGUGAUGGCCUACCAAGGCUUUGACGGGUAACCGGCCUGAGAGGGUGACCGGUCACAUUGGGACUGAGAUACGGCCCAGACUCCUACGGGAGGCAGCAGUGGGGAAUUUUGCACAAUGGGCGCAAGCCUGAUGCAGCGACGCCGCGUGAGGGAUGAAGGCCUUCGGGUUGUAAACCUUUUUCGCUCAUGGUCAAGCCGCAGCUUUGGGUUGUGGUGAGGGUAGUGGGUAAAGAAGCGCCGGCUAACUACGUGCCAGCAGCCGCGGUAAUACGUAGGGCGCGAGCGUUGUCCGGAAUUAUUGGGCGUAAAGGGCUUGUAGGUGGUUGGCCGCGUCUGCCGUGAAAUCCUCUGGCUUAACUGGGGGCGUGCGGUGGGUACGGGUUGACUUGAGUGCGGUAGGGGAGACUGGAAUUCCUGGUGUAGCGGUGGAAUGCGCAGAUAUCAGGAGGAACACCGGUGGCGAAGGCGGGUCUCUGGGCCGUUACUGACGCUGAGGAGCGAAAGCGUGGGGAGCGAACAGG
rnacentral:rRNA from 1 species